GACGAACGCUGGCGGCGUGCCUAAUACAUGCAAGUCGAACGCAGUGGGGACGGGUGAGUAACACGUGGGUAACCUCCCAUCAGAGGGGAUAACACUUGGAAACAGGUGCUAAACCGAUACUGAUGGAAGGACCCGCGGUGCAUUAGCUAGUUGGUGAGGUAACGGCUCACCAAGGCCACGAUGCAUAGCCGACCUGGAAGGGUGAUAGGCCACACAGGGACUGAGACACGGCCCAGACUCCUACGGGAGGCAGCAGUAGGGAAUCUGCGGAAAUGGACGAAAGUCUGACCUAUUAACGCCGCUUGAGUGAAGAAGGUUUUCGGACGGUAAAACUCUGUUGUUGGAGAAGCGGUAUCUAACCAGAAAGCGACGGCUAACUACGUGCCAGCCGCCGCGGUAAUUC
rnacentral:rRNA from 1 species